AUGAAGUUCUAGAAGUAAAUAUAUGAUGAGAGUCAACGGAGGCAUCUUUCAUUUCGCGUCACGGCGGCUCUGACGGUCAAAAAUGGAAGUUCGUCCCUUCCAUUUUUAACUCGUGUCGUCUGAUGUCUCAUCUCCAACGCGUGGCGUUCACCCCACUCAACACUUUCUCUUCAACUUUCCCAGAAACUUCAUGGAAUAUACCUAACUACGCACACGCGCGUACAUGUAUGUAUGUGUAUAUAUAUGCUAGAACCAUCAUAUAUUUUAUUCCUCAGAUCAGCUCCAUUCAUUUUCUCUCUGCAUUCAAUUCAAUUCAAUUCAGCUUUCGAAAUUAAAGUUCUCUCAGAAGCCGUUAGUUUUCCGUUUCCGAUCAUUAUCAAGGUAGAAUGAAUUCCAUGAGGAUGGUUGUACUCCCAAUUCUUGGAUUCAUAUUCAUGGCUCUGCUUCAACUCGGGUCGGGUCAAGUUACAGCUCCUUCUCCUGCUCCGACCGCCCCUUCCAAUGAUGGCGUCGCCAUUGAUCAAGGAAUUGCUUACGUUCUUCUGAUGCUUGCGCUGGCGAUUACAUAUUUAGUCCACUAAUUCACAGAGUUGAAGAUCAGAGAUUCUUUUUAGACAUAUAUUUUACUAUAAGCUACCAAAUUCUUUACUAUGUAUUUAAUUUUCUCCUAUACCUGGAGAACAGAAUUUCAUAGUUUUGUAUUCUUUCUUGAUGGGAUUAUUGUAAACAAGUUUUUCUUCGGCUAGUUACUACAUAUAUUAUAUGUAUAAUACAAAUUCGUUUACACUUCAUAUAUUCACCAACAUUUCGAUC